AACGAACGCUGGCGGCAGGCCUAACACAUGCAAGUCGAACGCCCCGCAAGGGGAGUGGCAGACGGGUGAGUAACACGUGGGAACCUACCUUGUGGUGCGGAACAACCAGGGGAAACUUUGGCUAAUACCGUAUGAGCCCGAGAGGGGAAAGAUUUAUCGCCAUAAGAUGGGCCCGCGUCGGAUUAGCUAGUUGGUGAGGUAAUGGCUCACCAAGGCGACGAUCCGUAGCUGGUCUGAGAGGAUGACCAGCCACACUGGGACUGAGACACGGCCCAGACUCCUACGGGAGGCAGCAGUGGGGAAUAUUGGACAAUGGGCGCAAGCCUGAUCCAGCCAUGCCGCGUGUGUGAUGAAGGCCUUAGGGUUGUAAAGCACUUUCGCCGAUGAAGAUAAUGACGGUAGUCGGAGAAGAAGCCCCGGCUAACUUCGUGCCAGCCGCCGCAGUAAUAC
rnacentral:rRNA from 1 species